GAGAGAAGGAAACAGCUGAAGUCCAGUCUAAGUGGGUCCCUGUAGAUGUGGAGAACGGAGAAGCCAAUGAAUCAAUUGAGACUCCGCAAACUAGGAGCCAGUUUCCCUAAGAAGCUUUGUAGGCUCACUGAAAUAAAGGCAGUUGGUGCCAUUAAGGAGGCUACUGCAAAGCUUAUACCUGCUAGAUGGAGAAAGAAUGCACCCAAGAUCAAUAAGGCUUCCCUUGACGAUUCAAGACCCCUUAGCUCGAUCGCACAUGAGCUCUUAUUGGAUU
rnacentral:lncRNA from 1 species